rnacentral:rRNA from 1 species
CAAUAGACGUACCCAGGUAGUCCACCCCGUAAACGUUGGGAACUAGUUGUGGGUCCAUUCCACGGAUUCCGUGACGCAGCUAACGCAUUAAGUUCCCCGCCUGGGGAGUACGGCCGCAAGGCUAAAACUCAAAGGAAUUGACGGGGACCCGCACAAGCGGCGGAGCAUGCGGAUUAAUUCGAUGCAACGCGAAGAACCUUACCAAGGCUUGACAUAUAGAGGAAACGGCUGGAAACAGUCGCCCCGCAAGGUCUCUAUACAGGUGGUGCAUGGUUGUCGUCAGCUCGUGUCGUGAGAUGUUGGGUUAAGUCCCGCAACGAGCGCAACCCUCGUUCUAUGUUGCCAGCACGUAAUGGUGGGAACUCAUGGGAUACUGCCGGGGUCAACUCGGAGGAAGGUGGGGAUGACGUCAAAUCAUCAUGCCCCUUAUGUCUUGGGCUUCACGCAUGCUACAAUGGCCGGUACAAAGGGCUGCAAUACCGUAAGGUGGAGCGAAUCCCAAAAAGCCGGUCCCAGUUCGGAUUGAGGUCUGCAACUCGACCUC